rnacentral:rRNA from 1 species
AUUGAACGCUGGCGGCAGGCCUAACACAUGCAAGUCGAGCGAGCGGCGGACGGGUGAGUACUGUCUGGGAAACUGCCUGAUGGAGGGGGAUAACUACUGGAAACGGUAGCUAAUACCGCAUACCAUCAGAUGUGCCCAGAUGGGAUUAGCUAGUAGGUGGGGUAACGCCUCACCUUGGCGACGAUCCCUAGCUGGUCUGAGAGGAUGACCAGACACAAUGGACCGGAGACACGGUCCAGACUCCUAGGGGAGGCAGCAGGGGGGAAGAUUGCACAAUGGGCGCAAGCCUGAUGCAGCCAGGCCGAGUGUGUGAAGAAGGCCUUCGGGGUGUAAAGCACGUUCAGCGGGGAGGCGUUACCCGCAGAAGAAGCACCGGCUAACUCCGUGCCAGCCGCCGCGGUAAUUC